rnacentral:rRNA from 1 species
UACGUAGGGGGCAAGCGUUGUCCGGAAUCAUUGGGCGUAAAGAGCGCGUAGGCGGCCCGAUCAGUCCGCUGUGGAAAGUCCAAGGGCUUAACCCUUGAAUGCCGGUGGAUACUGUCGGGCUAGAGUCCGGAAGAGGAGAGUGGAAUUCCCGGUGUAGCGGUGAAAUGACGUAGAGACCGGGAAGAACACCAGUGGCGAAGGCGGCUACCUGGACAGGUACUGACGCUGAAGCGCGAAAGCUAGGGGAGCAAACAGG